UACGUAAGAGACUAGUGUUAAUCAUCAUAAAUAGGUUUAAAGGGUACUCAGACGGAAAAUAUUCGCCUAAAAAAAGGGACAAUUUUUCUAGAGUUUUAUGUAAGAAGAUCGUACUCUAGAGUGUAGAGAUCAUAUUUGUUGAUACCUAGGGGACUGUAAAGGCGAAGGCAAUCUUUUAUGUAAAAACUGACGUCGAAGGACGAAUGGCAAAGGGCACGAACAGG
rnacentral:rRNA from 1 species